rnacentral:rRNA from 1 species
GACAGAGGCCUCGAGCGUUAGGCGGAAUCACUGGGCUUAAAGCGUGUGUAGGCGGAUCGUUAAGUGCCUUGUGAAAUCCCACGGCUUAACUGUGGAACGGCUGGGCAUACUGGCGGUCUUGAGCCAUCUAGGGGCGACUGGAACAAACGGUGGAGCGGUGAAAUGCGUAGAUAUCGUUUGGAACGCCAAUGGUGAAAACAGGUCGCUGGGGAUGAGCUGACGCUGAUGCGCGAAAGCUAGGGGAGCAAACGGG